rnacentral:rRNA from 1 species
AGUAGGGAAUCUUCCGCAAUGGACGAAAGUCUGACGGAGCAACGCCGCGUGAACGAUGAAGGCCUUCGGGUCGUAAAGUUCUGUUGUUAGGGAAGAACAAGUACCAGAGUAACUGCUGGUACCUUGACGGUACCUAACCAGAAAGCCACGGCUAACUACGUGCCAGCAGCCGCGGUAAUACGUAGGUGGCAAGCGUUGUCCGGAAUUAUUGGGCGUAAAGCGCUCGCAGGCGGUUUCUUAAGUCUGAUGUGAAAGCCCACGGCUCAACCGUGGAGGGUCAUUGGAAACUGGGGAACUUGAGUGCAGAAGAGGAGAGUGGAAUUCCACGUGUAGCGGUGAAAUGCGUAGAGAUGUGGAGGAACACCAGUGGCGAAGGCGACUCUCUGGUCUGUAACUGACGCUGAGGAGCGAAAGCGUGGGGAGCGAA